rnacentral:RNase_MRP_RNA from 14 species
CACACGGGGAGCUUGCUCCCAGAGAUGCUGCGAGGAAAGUCCCCGUGCCUUGGUGCAGAGAGUGCGAGUGACCUCCAGUGGUGAUGCUUCUCGUGGCGGGCGCGGGCCCUUAGCAGCAGCACAGACAUGCCGUGAGCGCUCAUGAUUGGAGAGAUGCUGCGAGGAAGGCCCUUCGCAGCAGCACA